ACUAAACAUGCAGCUUGGGAGUGACUAAGGACAAUAGUUACUCCCUUGGGUGCAGUGGAGCCCACCAAGCUCCCUGAGAGGGAGGAAAUGUAUGAGGUAUCUCUAGCGGAAAGCACUGCAGUAGCUGUACAAGAGAGGAAGCAAGCACGAUGCAGGUGAAUGGAAGCCCCAGAUCCUCUGGAACCUUCCCACUGCCAAAGGCAGAGGAGGAGUGUGCAUGAGCAGCCUCUGUGACCAGGAACUUGGGUCUAGCAUGAACUCAUUGCCUCUACCUUCAAAGCCCUCCAUGGCCAGUUGACCCCCUCAUCUCCUGACCGGAUUCUAUCUGAGACUUUGCUCCUCCAUCCCUAUCAUUUUCAGCUUCAUCAGGAAAUGGCAUAAGUUCCCUAAAGGUCUGCCUGGAGGCAGUAAUGGGCAAGAUGAUGGAUAACAAACAGAAACUGAAUCCAAAUCUUACCUUGUGCUGUUGUGAGGAUAAGAACUGUAAAGCACUUAUGAUGAGGAGUUCAAAGAAAUUGCUAAGAUGAAAAAAGAGCGAUUCUGUGAAGGAAGUCUUGGAGGAGGCUUUAAGAGACUGCUGCUCAGUACAAACGUCUUCUUGGAAGUAGAUCAACUAUCAUCUUAUUCCUGGGACUGCUCCCUGAUACUCUUUGGAAGAUAAGCAAUGCAUUUAUGAUGUGCCAGCAUGCCUUGUGCUCAAUUAUGCACUUAUGCAUUAACACAAUAGGCUUUCUAGGCUUAACAUGGGAGGUAAGUGGUUUUCAUUUUGUCUGUAUGUUCCCUUUUAAAUAACUGACAUAAAGGAGAGAAGAAAUGAGGACUUUGCUGAAUGUUUGUGGUUCUGAUUUUUUUGUUGAAAUGUGUGUUCUUGAAAGUUAGAGGUUUUUUUGUUGCCAAACUAGUAGCAAAGUAUUCUAAAAAUCUGCUAUUUUGUUUGAAGUUGGGUACCAUUUCCCCACACCAGUUUCCACCACACUCUUCCCCACCCCAUCCCUUUUUCUUCAAAGACAAUAGAUUUCAACAGUCACCCAAAGACACAAAACAAGUUCAUGUGGGUCUAUGCAGCCAAUCAUAUAUCACAUAGAAGGAUAUUUUGAUGCAUGAUGAGGUUACCAAGCUUUGGUAAAUGAAGGCACAUUGGCCACUGCAGCCAGUGGGAUGUCAUUAUCUAGCAACAGUUGAUGUGGUGAUGUCACUACAGCCACAUACAUUAAAUUGCUCAAUUUAAAAAAAGAAUAAAAAUCAAUUACUGUUUCAGAGAAUGCUCCCUCUUCUUCCUUCUAAGGAUAAUAAGAAAUUUUAAAAUGUGUGCCAUUUUGGAACAGAAAAAGGAAAACACUCUUAUGGCUCCCUUCAGGUUUGGGUCAAAGGUGGAAAUGAGCAGAAAUGACACAAAUGGGCCCCUUCCACAAGACCACCUUUAAUAGCACUGUCAAGAAUGAGGAAGCAGGGUAGGUCAGAAUGGCAUAUGAACCCAGACUCCCCCACCCCUGUCCUGAGACCCACAUGUUUGUAUUACAAACCAAUCUGGACAAGACAGUAGCUGUGGUUAAUGAGUGCCAAUGGGGCUGGUG